rnacentral:rRNA from 1 species
UACGGAGGGUGCAAGCGUUAAUCGGAAUUACUGGGCGUAAAGCGCACGCAGGUGGCUGAGUCAGUCGAUUGUGAAAGCCCUGGGCUUAACCUGGGAAUUGCAGUCGAUACUACUCAGCUAGAGUAUGGGAGAGGGUAGUGGAAUUCCCGGUGUAGCGGUGAAAUGCGUAGAUAUCUGGAGGAACACCGGUGGCGAAGGCGACAUCCUGGACCGGUAUUGACGCUGAGGCGCGAAAGCCAGGGGAGCAAACGGG